rnacentral:rRNA from 1 species
UAACACGUGGAUAACCUGCCUCAAGGCUGGGGGAGUAACAUUUGGUAAACAGAUGCUAAUACCGAUAAAACUUAGUAUCGCAUGAUAUCAAGUUAAAAGGCGCUACGGCGUCACCUAGAGAUGGAUCCGCGGUGCAUUAGUUAGUUGGUGGGGUAAAGGCUUACCAAGACGAUGAUGCAUAGCCGAGUUGAGAGACUGAUCGGCCACAUUGGGACUGAGACACGGCCCAAACUCCUACGGGAGGCAGCAG